rnacentral:rRNA from 1 species
GACGAACGCUGGCGGCGUGCUUAACACAUGCAAGUCGAACGGUAAGGCCCUUCGGGGUACACGAGUGGCGAACGGGUGAGUAACACGUGGGUGAUCUGCCCUGCACUUUGGGAUAAGCCUGGGAAGCUGGGUCUAAUACCGAAUACACCCUGCUGGCUGCAUGGCCUGGUGGGGGAAAGCUUUUGCGGUGUGGGAUGGGCCCGCGGCCUAUCAGCGUGUUGGUGGGGUGAUGGCCUACCAAGGCGACGACGGGUAGCCGGCCUGAGAGGGUGACCGGCCACACUGGGACUGAGAUACGGCCCAGACUCCUACGGGAGGCAGCAGUGGGGAAUAUUGCACAAUGGGCGCAAGCCUGAUGCAGCGACGCCGCGUGGGGGAUGACGGCCUUCGGGUUGUAAACCUCUUUCAGUAGGGACGAAGCGCAAGUGACGGUACCUACAGAAGAAGGACCGGCCAACUACGUGCCAGCCGCCGCGGUAA